rnacentral:tRNA from 1 species
UGGGCUAUGGCCAAGUGGUUAAGGCAUCGGACUCUGAAUCCGAGACCGAAAGUUCAAAUCUUUCUAGCCCUGCCA